UACGGGGGGGGCAAGCGUUGUUCGGAAUUACUGGGCGUAAAGGGCUCGUAGGCGGCCAACUAAGUCGGAUGUGAAAUCCCCAGGCUUAACCUGGGAACUGCAUCCGAUACUGGAUGGCUUGAAUCCGGGAGAGGGAUGCAGAAUUCCAGAUGUAGCGGUGAAAUGCGUAGAUAUCCGGAGGAACACCGGUGGCGAAGGCGGCUUCCUGGACCGACACUGACGCUGAGGCGCGAAAGCUAGGGGAGCAAACGGG
rnacentral:rRNA from 1 species